ACAGGCUAGCGGCGGACGGGUGAGUUAACACGUGGGUAACCUGCCCAAGAGAUCGGGAUAACACCUGGAAACAGAUGCUAAUACCGGAUAACAACAGAUGAUGCCUAUCAACUGUUUAAAAGAUGGUUCUGCUAUCACUCUUGGGAUGGACCUGCGGUGCAUUAGCUAGUUGGUAGGGGUAAUGGCCUACCAAGGCGAUGAUGCAUAGCCGAGUUGAGAGACUGAUCGGCCACAUUGGGACUGAGACACGGCCCAAACGUCCUACGGGAGGCAGCAGUAGGGGAAUCUUCCACAAUGGACGCAAGUCUGAUGGAGCAACGCCGCGUGAGUGAAGAAGGGUUUCGGCUCGUAAAGCUCUGUUGUUGGUGAAGAAGGACAGGGGGUAGUAACUGACCUUUGUUUGACGGUAAUCAAUUAGAAAAGUCACGGGCUAACUACGUGCCCAGCAGCCGCGGGUAAAU
rnacentral:rRNA from 1 species